AGUGACACACUCGGCUGCGCCUCGUGUGUGUCACUGAUGAAGAUCGUUUGUUCCAUUUUUCAAUUUGUUUAGUUGCAUAGAGUAUUCAAAUUCAUUCAUCUUCUUUCAGGUGACUACUAUUAACUUUCUUUGUGCAACAUGAAAUUGGGCGCACUAAACUAGUGCAAAACAACUGGUA